UACGUAGGGGCAAGCGUUGUCCGGAUUUAUUGGGCGUAAAGAGCGUGUAGGCGGUUAGGUAGGUCCGUUGUGAAAACUCGAGGCUCAACCUCGAGACGCCGAUGGAAACCAUCUAACUAGAGUCCGGAAGAGGAGAGUGGAAUUCCUGGUGUAGCGGUGGAAUGCGCAGAUAUCAGGAGGAACACCGGUGGCGAAGGCGGGUCUCUGGGCAGUGAACUGACGCUGAGGAGCGAAAGCGUGGGGAGCGAACAGG
rnacentral:rRNA from 1 species